rnacentral:rRNA from 1 species
GACGAACGCUGGCGGCGUGCUUAACACAUGCAAGUCGAACGGUAAGGCCCCAGCUUGCUGGGGUACACGAGUGGCGAACGGGUGAGUAACACGUGGGUGACCUGCCCCGCACUUCGGGAUAAGCCUGGGAAACUGGGUCUAAUACCGGAUACGACCGCACCGUGAGGGUGUGGUGGAAAGUUUUUCGGUGUGGGAUGGGCCCGCGGCCUAUCAGCUUGUUGGUGGGGUAAUGGCCUACCAAGGCGGCGACGGGUAGCCGGCCUGAGAGGGUGGACGGCCACAUGGGGCUGAGGGAGGGGCCAGAACGCCAACGGGGGGAAGGGGCGGGGAAAUGUCGAAAAGGGGCGGAAGGCGGGGGGAGGGCCGCCGGGGGGGGGAGGACGGCUUUUGGGUGUUAAAAACUUUUCAACAAAGAAGAAGGUUUUUGAAGGGAAGUUGGAAAAAAACCACGGGUAACUACGGG